AUGUAUUCAAUGUUUGGCGGCUCGAUCCGCUCCUGGAUCGGGAGAGGAGGAAGGGAGGUGGGGGGCCGGCCGUCUCUGUGCCUCCUCGACGCCGAGCUGCGGCUGCUCCGUGUGUGCGCGCUCUCUCUCUCUCAGAUAAGGAGAACUUUAACCUUGCGCCCACCUAUGGCAAUAUUGCCCUCUUUAUAUUCUCCCUCGCUCAUCAGCAGCAGCGAUGGUGGCGUCAUUGUCGGCCUUGCAGCAUGUGGCAUAAUCAUGUCCAUUGCCUACUCUGGGGCAGAUCUUUGA
rnacentral:rRNA from 1 species